CCUAUCUCCAGAGUCCACACCCAUCCCCCUUGACUCCCCUCCCACGUCUCCUGCCGCCAGCCUUCCUUCCCCUCAACAGACCCCCUGUGCUCUCGUCUGCCACGACAGGACCCUGCGUCCCUUCUCCACCUCUCCCUUCAACUUCCCACGCACGAUCCCCUGUGCCCCAAGGAGAACGAUGACAAGGCGGCGACAAUCAUCACCGGGAUCUGUCGCCCGCGCCGCCGCAAGAAGAUCUACCAUGCUGUCUCCAUUCCGGGAUCUGUCGCUCGCGCCGCCGCGUGCCUGCCCUCUUUGCCGCCGCCGUCGUCCAUUGCCGCGGACGCCUCCUCCUCACUGGAUGAUCAGAAGCACCCAUAAGAAGUAGAGGACAUGACAGGAGGAGGGAACAGGAAGCUUUGUUUAUCAUUGAUGUUAUGUGUGAUCAACAAAAACUUGUGCUUCUCAUCCAAUCUUUGUCAAACUAUGUUGAUGUGUGAUUAUGCAUUUGUUGGGCCUUGAACCUUUAUGUGUAGAGGAGUCGAUGGAUGACGUAUUGUAAUUCAUGUGAUGUGCUACUGAAAUGAAAUAUAUACAACUAAUUUGCAGUCUUGUACUUGCUGUUUAA